UACGUAGGUGGCGAGCGUUGUCCGGAUUCAUUGGGCGUAAAGCGCGCGCAGGUGGUGCGGUAAGUCUGUCGUGAAAUCUCCCGGCUCAACUGGGAGGGUGCGGUGGAGACUGCCGGACUGGAGGCACUCAGAGGCCGGUGGAAUUCCCGGUGUAGUGGUGAAAUGCGUAGAGAUCGGGAGGAACACCAGUGGCGAAGGCGGCCGGCUGGGGGUGACCUGACGCUGAGGCGCGACAGCGUGGGGAGCAAACAGG
rnacentral:rRNA from 1 species